rnacentral:lncRNA from 1 species
UGCCAGCGCAUCCUAGGAGAGCUCCCGAGCGGGGGUCAGAGUGCUUGUCCCUGGGGCUCAGUGAGCGGGAUUGAGUGCUUGUCCCUGGGGCUCAGUGAGCAGGGUUCAGAGUGCUUGUCCCUGGGGCUCAGUGAGCGGGAUUGAGUGCUUGUCCCUGGGGCUCAGUAAACGGAGUUCAGAGUGCUUGUCCCUGGGGCACAGUGAGCGGGGUUCAGAGUGCUUGUCCCUGGGGCUCAGUGAGCGGGAUUGAGUGCUUGUCCCUGGGGCUCAGUGAGCGGGAUUGAGUGCUUGUCCCUGGGGCUCAGUGAGCAGGGUUCAGAGUGCUUGUCCCUGGGGCUCAGUGAGCGGGAUUAAGUGCUUGUCCCUGGGGCUCAGUGCGCAGGAUUAAGUGCUGCCCCUGGGGCUCAGUGAGCGGGGUUCAAAGUGCUUGUCCCUGGGGCUCAGUGAGCGGGGUUCAGAGUGCUUGUCCCUGGGGCUCAGUGAACAUCCCAGCAAGGCUGUAGUCAGAACAUAGAAACAUUCUGUGAAUGAGACGUUGUAUGUUCAGAUUUUAUAAAAGCCGUUUUUAAACAAGCCCAAUUUACAGCCGUAUAUUUUCUUAUGAUGUAAUUUAUGAAAAAGAUGUCUGUUCUAACAGGUGCUCUAACACCACUGUUGUUGGGUUUUAUUGUUUGGUGAUAAAUGUGUACAAUCUUUCUAUGGGAAACUGUGUACUGUGAUGUAAAGUCUGGGCAAAAUGUACAUAAUCCUUGUAUAUAAUUGUGUAUUUGAUUAUAAUUACUGAUUGUAAAGAUUUAAUAAAACAUGUAAAUACUUGGGUCUAGUUUUACUG